rnacentral:lncRNA from 1 species
GCGCGCGCCCUUAGCGUUGAGGGGGCGGGGCCGGCGGGCGCUGCAGCCCCGCCCCCCCCCCCCCCCCCCCCCCCCCCCCCCCCCCCCCCCCCCCCCCCCCCCCCCCCCCCCCCCCCCCCCCCCCCCCCCCCCCCCCCCCCCCCCCCCCCCCCCCCCCCCCCCCCCCCCCCCCCCCCCCCCCCCCCCCCCCCCCCCCCCCCCCCCCCCCCCCCCCCCCCCCCCCCCCCCCCCCCCCCCCCCCCCCCCCCCCCCCCCCGCCCCCCGCGGCCGUGAGGGCUCGGGCCCCCCGGGACGGGGACAGGGACAGCGGCACGGCUCGGGAGCGUCAGCCCCCCUGGCGACAAAGGUUUUGUUCAUUGAAGGAUAGCAAGUUUCGUGAGGUGCUGGGAUGGUAUUGGAGAUGCUAGGAGGAGCUUCAGUGCUGGUAAAGUGGAUUUAGGGGGAACAGGGAAGGAUUGAUUUGGUGGUAUCAAUUGACACAACUUUCAGUGGUGCUGGGUGAGGUUUGAGAGUGCUAAAGAGGAGCUGCAGCUGGCUAAGCUGGUUUUGGGUAAUGUUGGGAAAGUUUGAA